rnacentral:rRNA from 1 species
AGGCUUAACACAUGCAAGUGGAACGCCCCGCAAGGGGAGUUGGCAGACGGGUGAGUGAACGCGUGGGGAACAUGACCCUUUCCUGCGGAAUAGCUCCGGGAAACUGGAAUUAAUACCGCAUACGCCCUACGGGGGAAAGAUUUAUCGGGGAAGGAUUGGCCCGCGUUGGAUUAGCUAGUUGGUGGGGUAAAGGCCUACCAAGGCGACGAUCCAUAGCUGGUCUGAGAGGAUGAUCAGCCACAUNGGGACUGAGACACGGCCCAAACUCCUACGGGAGGCAGCAGUGGGGAAUAUUGGACAAUGGGCGCAAGCCUGAUCCAGCCAUGCCGCGUGAGUGAUGAAGGCCUUAGGGUNGUAAAGCUCUUUCACCGGAGAAGAUAAUGACGGUAUCCGGAGAAGAAGCCCCGGCUAACUUCGUGCCAGCAGCCGCGGUAAUACGAAGGGGGCUAGCGUUGUNCGGAAUUACUGGGCGUAAAGCGCACGUAGGCGGAUAUUUAAGUCAGGGGUGAA